GGCCUAACACAUGCAGUCGAGCGGAGACGGAAGCUUGCUCCUUGAUUCAGCGGCGGACGGGUGAGAAAAGGCUAGGAAUCUGCCUGGUAGUGGGGGACAACGUUUCGAAAGGAACGCUAAUACCGCAUACGUCCUACGGGAGAAAGCAGGGGACCUUCGGGCCUUGCGCUAUCAGAUGAGCCUAGGUCGGAUUAGCUAGUUGGUGGGGUAAUGGCUCACCAAGGCGACGAUCCGUAACUGGUCUGAGAGGAUGAUCAGUCACACUGGAACUGAGACACGGUCCAGACUCCUACGGGAGGCAGCAGUGGGGAAUAUUGGACAAUGGGCGAAAGCCUGAUCCAGCCAUGCCGCGUGUGUGAAGAAGGUCUUCGGAUUGUAAAGCACUUUAAGUUGGGAGGAAGGGCAGUAAGUUAAUAUCUUGUUGUUUUGACGUUACCGACAGAAUAAGCACCGGCUAACUCUGUGCCAGCAGCCGCGGUAAUACAGAGGGUGCAAGCGUUAAUCGGAAUUACUGGGCGUAAAGCGCGCGUAGGUGGUUCGUUAAGUUGGAUGUGAAAGCCCCGGGCUCAACCUGGGAACUGCAUCCAAAACUGGCAAGCUAGAGUACGGUAGAGGGUGGUGGAAUUUCCUGUGUAGCGGUGAAAUGCGUAGAUAUAGGAAGGAACACCAGUGGCGAAGGCGACCACCUGGACUGAUACUGACACUGAGGUGCGAAAGCGUGGGGAGCAAACAGGAUUAGAUACCCUGGUAGUCCACGCCGUAAACGAUGUCAACUAGCCGUUGGAAUCCUUGAGAUUUUAGUGGCGCAGCUAACGCAUUAAGUUGACCGCCUGGGGAGUACGGCCGCAAGGUUAAAACUCAAAUGAAUUGACGGGGGCCCGCACAAGCGGUGGAGCAUGUGGUUAAAUUCGAAGCAACGCGAAGAACCUUACCAGGCCUUGACAUGCAGAGAACUUUCCAGAGAUGGAUUGGUGCCUUCGGGAACUCUGACACAGGUGCUGCAUGCUGUCGUCAGCUCGUGUCGUGAGAAUUGUGGUAGUCCGUAACGAGCGCAACCC
rnacentral:rRNA from 1 species